UACGGGGGGUGCGAGCGUUGUCCGGAAUCACUGGGCGUAAAGCGCGUGUAGGCGGCCCGGUAAGUCCGCUGUGAAAGUCGGGGGCUCAACCCUCGAAUGCUGGUGGAUACUGUCGGGCUAGAGUGCGGGAGAGGCGAGUGGAAUUCCUGGUGUAGCGGUGAAAUGCGUAGAGAUCCGGAGGAACACCGACGGCGCAGGCAGCGUCCUGGCCGCUUGCUGACACUGAGGCACGAAAGCUGGGGGAGCAAACAGG
rnacentral:rRNA from 1 species